rnacentral:rRNA from 1 species
UACGGAGGGGGCUAGCGUUGUUCGGAAUCAUUGGGCGUAAAGGGCGCGUAGGCGGCCGAUCAAGUCGGAGGUGAAAUCCCUCGGCUCAACUGAGGAACUGCCUUCGAUACUGUUCGGCUUGAGUCCUGGAGAGGGUAGCGGAAUUCCCGGUGUAGCGGUGAAAUGCGUAGAGACCGGGAAGAACACCAGUGGCGAAGGCGGCUACCUGGACAGGUACUGACGCUGAAGCGCGAAAGCUAGGGGAGCAAACAGGAUUGAGAUA